ACUUAGAUAGCUAAAUUUAAUAGCGUUACAUUGAAGCUGUAGAGUUGAUAAUUUUAUCUCUGAGUA
rnacentral:tRNA from 1 species